AAAUAAAGACCUGUAUGAAUGGCUAAAUGAGUAUUUUACUGUCUCCUUUAACUAAUUAGUGAAACUGAUCUUUCAGUACAAAAGCUGAAAUAAUAAUAUAAGACGAGAAGACCCUGUGGAGCUUUAAAUUUUUACCAAUUUAAUAUUGCCCAUAUAUUUAUGACAAAAAUUUUUUAGUUGGGGCGACUUUGGAGUAAAAUUUAACCUCCAAGAAAAGGUAAAACCUAGACAAGGCUAACCAGCCAAUCUAUACGACCCAGUAUUACUGACCAACGAACCAAGUUACCCCAGGGAUAACAGCGCUAUCUUCUUCAAGAGUUCAUAUCGACAAGAAGGUUUACGACCUCGAUGUUGGAUCAGGACACCCAAAUGGUGCAGCCGCUAUUAAAGGUUCGUUUGUUCAACGAUUAAUAGU
rnacentral:rRNA from 1 species